rnacentral:rRNA from 1 species
GACGUAGGGCGCGAGCGUUGUCCGGAUUUAUUGGGCGUAAAGAGCUCGUAGGCGGCUUGUCGCGUCGACUGUGAAAUCCCGCGGCUCAACCGCGGGUCUGCAGUCGAUACGGGCAGGCUAGAGUUCGGUAGGGGAGACUGGAAUUCCUGGUGUAGCGGUGAAAUGCGCAGAUAUCAGGAGGAACACCGAUGGCGAAGGCAGGGUCUCUGGGCCGAUACUGACGUGGAGGAGCGAAAGCGUGGGGAGCGAAACAGG